rnacentral:rRNA from 1 species
UGCAGUCGAACGGUGAACACGGAGCUUGCUCUGUGGGAUCAGUGGCGAACGGGUGAGUAACACGUGAGCAACCUGCCCCUGACUCUGGGAUAAGCGCUGGAAACGGCGUCUAAUACUGGAUAUGUGACGUGACCGCAUGGUCUGCGUCUGGAAAGAAUUUCGGUUGGGGAUGGGCUCGCGGCCUAUCAGCUUGUUGGUGAGGUAAUGGCUCACCAAGGCGUCGACGGGUAGCCGGCCUGAGAGGGUGACCGGCCACACUGGGACUGAGACACGGCCCAGACUCCUACGGGAGGCAGCAGUGGGGAAUAUUGCACAAUGGGCGCAAGCCUGAUGCAGCAACGCCGCGUGAGGGACGACGGCCUUCGGGUUGUAAACCUCUUUUAGCAGGGAAGAAGCGAAAGUGACGGUACCUGCAGAAAAAGCGCCGGCUAACUACGUGCCAGCAGCCGCGGUAAUACGUAGGGCGCAAGCGUUAUCCGGAAUUAUUGGGCGUAAAGAGCUCGUAGGCGGUUUGUCGCGUCUGCUGUGAAAUCCGGAGGCUCAACCUCCGGCCUGCAGUGGGUACGGGCAGACUAGAGUGCGGUAGGGGAGAUUGGAAUUCCUGGUGUAGCGGUGGAAUGCGCAGAUAUCAGGAGGAACACCGAUGGCGAAGGCAGAUCUCUGGGCCGUAACUGACGCUGAGGAGCGAAAGGGUGGGGAGCAAACAGGCUUAGAUACCCUGGUAGUCCACCCCGUAAACGUUGGGAACUAGUUGUGGGGUCCAUUCCACGGAUUCCGUGACGCAGCUAACGCAUUAAGUUCCCCGCCUGGGGAGUACGGCCGCAAGGCUAAAACUCAAAGGAAUUGACGGGGACCCGCACAAGCGGCGGAGCAUGCGGAUUAAUUCGAUGCAACGCGAAGAACCUUACCAAGGCUUGACAUAUACGAGAACGGGCCAGAAAUGGUCAACUCUUUGGACACUCGUAAACAGGUGGUGCAUGGUUGUCGUCAGCUCGUGUCGUGAGAUGUUGGGUUAAGUCCCGCAACGAGCGCAACCCUCGUUCUAUGUUGCCAGCACGUAAUGGUGGGAACUCAUGGGAUACUGCCGGGGUCAACUCGGAGGAAGGUGGGGAUGACGUCAAAUCAUCAUGCCCCUUAUGUCUUGGGCUUCACGCAUGCUACAAUGGCCGGUACAAAGGGCUGCAAUACCGCGAGGUGGAGCGAAUCCCAAAAAGCCGGUCCCAGUUCGGAUUGAGGUCUGCAACUCGACCUCAUGAAGUCGGAGUCGCUAGUAAUCGCAGAUCAG